rnacentral:rRNA from 1 species
UCGAAAGCCUGUCCCAGUUCGGACUGGAGUCUGCAACCCGACUCCACGAAGUUGGAUUCGCUAGUAAUCGCGCAUCAGCCAUGGCGCGGUGAAUACGUUCCCGGGCCUUGUACACACCGCCCGUCAAGCCAUGGGAGCCGGGGGCGCCUGAAGUCCGGGACCGCGAGGACCGGCCUAGGGCGAAACUGGUAACUGGGGCUAAGUCGUAACAAGGUAUC